GUAUACGGCCAUGGCUGGCGGCAAAUACCAGGAUCCCGUCUGAUCUCCCCGGAAUCUGGCGAGCGCCAGAUCUGUCGCUUUGCUGCCAACGACCAGGGAACCCCCGGUGCUGUAUGCC
rnacentral:rRNA from 1 species